GAUGAACGCUAGCUACAGGCUUAACACAUGCAAGUCGCGGGGCAGCAUGGGGGUUGCUUGCAAUCCCCGAUGGCGACCGGCGCACGGGUGAGUAACGCGUAUCCAACCUGCCCUUCACCACGGGAUAACCCGGCGAAAGUCGGACUAAUACCGUAUGUUGUCCAUUGACGGCAUCCGAUUUGGACGAAAGGUUUGGCGGUGAAGGAUGGGGAUGCGUCCGAUUAGCUGGACGGCGGGGUGACGGCCCACCGUGGCGACGAUCGGUAGGGGUUCUGAGAGGAAGGUCCCCCACACUGGAACUGAGACACGGUCCAGACUCCUACGGGAGGCAGCAGUGAGGAAUAUUGGUCAAUGGGCGUAAGCCUGAACCAGCCAAGUAGCGUUCAGGAUGACGGCCCUAUGGGUUGUAAACUGCUUUUAUGCGGGGAUAAAGUGGCCCACGUGUGGGUUUUUGCAGGUACCGCAUGAAUAAGGACCGGCUAAUUCCGUG
rnacentral:rRNA from 1 species